GAAAAGAACUUUGAAAAGAGAGUUAAACAGUACGUGAAAUUGUUGAAAGGGAAACGAUUAAAGUCAGUCGUACGGACGGGGAAUCAGCCUUUCGAGCGUGGAUACGCGGGAUUCGGAGAGCCCUUCGACCUCGCGUAUUUGAGUUCUUUUGGUGUACUUUCCCGUGACGUAGGUCAGCGUCGGUUUCGAUCGUUAUAAAAUGAUCGGGGGAAUGUGGCUUCGACCUCGGUUGAAGUGUUAAUAGACCCUGUUAGAUGUGACGGUUGGGACCGAGGAUUGCAACGGAUGCUCAAACGGGCUACCCGUCUGGCUCUCUGAUACGUUGCUUCGGCAUCGAAAGCGUGCUUACGACGUGGAAGUGAGCGGUCAAAAGGUUAGAACGGGUUAAAUUCGUUAAGGA
rnacentral:rRNA from 1 species